AAGGCUUGACAUGUUCGGCAAAACUAGAGAAACCUAGCGGAGGUUAUCCGAACACAGGUGCUGCAUGGCCGUCGUCAGUUCGUGCCGUGAGGUGUAUGGUUAACGUCCUAUAACGAACGCAACCCUUAGACUUAGUUACCAGCAUUAAGUUGGGGACUCUAGGUCGACUGCCUGAGUAAUCAGGAAGGAAGGAGAGGAUGACGUCUGGUCGUCAUCGGCCCUUAUCGUCCCGUUUGGGGCCGACACACGUGA
rnacentral:rRNA from 1 species